rnacentral:lncRNA from 10 species
UGGAGUUGCAGGCAUCACCUUGCCUUUGUUUCACCAUCCUGUGCGAAUUCGGGCUAUGGGACCAUCACAAGAAAAUGAUCAUACAUCAGGUUACACACUUUGAUGGCACUAACUGCAUGUUAGAAUUGUGUGGCAAAGAACUGAAGGCAUCAGUCCAAAAGCCCAAAGAACUAAAUACCGCCAACAACCCCAUGAACUUGGAAGUGGGUCCUUUCCCAGUGAGCUCUGGAGAUGACAAAAGACAGACAACACCUUGAUUGUAGUCUGUGAGAAAACCUGAAGCAGAAGACCCAGCUAACUUGUGCUCAGAUUCCUGACCAAUACAAAUUGUGAGACAAAUGUGUAAUUUUUUAAGCCAAGUUUUUGAUAAUGUAAUAUGAAGUGAUAGAUAACUAAUACAAAAUAGAGAACUGGAUACAUAUGUUCACGAGCUAUUCUGGCAUAAAAAUACAUUCAAUAAAAAACUUGUUGCUACUCUGUAUUUCCCUCAUCUCAUUGACAUCAUCCUAUCCUUUAUCUUUCAUAUAAAUAUCUGUGUAAAAUUUGUCAACAAAUGGUGUGAAAAUGAAGAGAAAGCAGAACAGUAGAAAUAAAAGAGGACUUGUUUA